rnacentral:rRNA from 1 species
AUUGAACGCUGGCGGAAUGCUUUACACAUGCAAGUCGAACGGCAGCACGGACUUCGGUCUGGUGGCGAGUGGCGAACGGGUGAGUAAUAUAUCGGAACGUAUCCAAUAAUGGGGGAUAACUAAUCGAAAGGUUGGCUAAUACCGCAUACGCCCUACGGGGGAAAGCUAGGGACCUUCGGGCCUGGCGUUAAUGGAGCGGCUGAUAUCUGAUUAGCUAGUUGGUGAGGUAAAGGCUCACCAAGGCGACGAUCAGUAGCUGGUCUGAGAGGACGACCAGCCACACUGGAACUGAGACACGGUCCAGACUCCUACGGGAGGCAGCAGUGGGGAAUUUUGGACAAUGGGCGCAAGCCUGAUCCAGCCAUUCCGCGUGAGUGAAGAAGGCC